UCCCGAGGCUGGGAGGUUGCAGUGCUCAUGUACAAAGGGAUUUACUUGGCUGGGUGAAUUUGACACCUCUGCACCACGUGUGAGAGCCACACAGGGGCUGGAUGCUCUUUGGAAUGAAGGGAAUUUUUUUCCCAGUGGGCCAAUCAGGUCCUGGCGUUGCUAAUUUUACCACUCGGCUCCCAGAAAUUUGCUGGAGGUGCAGAUUAAUAAAAUCUCUUUUUCUCAGGUUUAAAUUCUUAAAAACAGAUACACCCCGGGACACGAGCGAGGUAAUUUUAGUUGCCUAUUUUUAGGGAGUAAAUUGCUGAAAACACACGUGCUUUGUUACAAUGCUGCUUUUAGGAGAGGGCUGUGGGGCUGUGUGUCAAGAAUUCAAUUAUCUGGUCGUGUCUGUGGCUCUGCAGAAUCAGUUUUGACUCUGGGAGAUCCCUUUGGAUGCACCUCAUCCUGUAUUUCAGGCACAGUGCUCCACUGAAAGUUGUGUCCUCGGAAGAGGCUGUUUUUUAAAGAUCAAGCCUAUUGUUAAACCCACAUUGUCUGCAAUUUGGACAGCUCUUAAUGCAUCUUGAACUCCGAAUCCAGAGAGAUUUGGAUUUAUAGAUUGAAUAAAGGUCUCUAGACAUUUA